GCCCGCUCAAGAAACUCAAAGGAAUUGACGGGGCCCGCACAAGCAGCGGAGCAUGUGGUUUAAUUCGAAGCAACGCGAAGAACCUUACCUAGACUUGACAUCUCCUGAAUUACCCGUAACUGGGGAAGCUCUUCGGAGCAGGAAGACAGGUGGUGCAUGGUUGUCGUCAGCUCGUGUCGUGAGAUGUUGGGUUAAGUCCCGCAACGAGCGCAACCCUUAUCGUUAGUUGCUACCAUUAGGUUGAGCACUCUAGCGAGACUGCCCGGGUUAACCGGGAGGAAGGUGGGGAUGACGUCAAAUCAUCAUGCCCCUUAUGUCUAGGGCUACACACGUGCUACAAUGGUGAGGACAAAGAGACGCAAGACCGCGAGGUGGAGCAAAUCUCACAAACCUCAUCCCAGUUCGGAUUGCAGGCUGAAACUCGCCUGCAUGAAGCCGGAGUUGCUAGUAAUCGCGAAUCAGCAUGUCGCGGUGAAUACGUUCCCGGGCCUU
rnacentral:rRNA from 1 species